rnacentral:rRNA from 1 species
UUAAGCGACUAAGCGUACACGGUGGAUGCCCUGGCAGUCAGAGGCGAUGAAGGACGUGCUAAUCUGCGAUAAGCGUCGGUGAGGUGAUAUGAACCGUUAUAACCGGCGAUUUCCGAAUGGGGAAACCCAGUGUGUUUCGACACACUAUCAUUAACUGAAUCCAUAGGUUAAUGAGGCGAACCGGGGGAACUGAAACAUCUAAGUACCCCGAGGAAAAGAAAUCAACCGAGAUUCCCCAGUAGCGGCGAGCGAACGGGGAGGAGCCCAGAGCCUGAAUCAGUGUGUGUGUUAGUGGAAGCGUCUGGAAAGGCGCGCGAUACAGGGUGACAGCCCCGUACACAAAAAUGCACAUACUGUGAGCUCGAUGAGUAGGGCGGGACACGUGGUAUCCUGUCUGAAUAUGGGGGGACCAUCCUCCAAGGCUAAAUACUCCUGACUGACCGAUAGUGAACCAGUACCGUGAGGGAAAGGCGAAAAGAACCCCGGCGAGGGGAGUGAAAAAGAACCUGAAACCGUGUACGUACAAGCAGUGGGAGCCUCUUAAUGGGGUGACUGCGUACCUUUUGUAUAAUGGGUCAGCGACUUAUAUUCUGUAGCAAGGUUAACCGAAUAGGGGAGCCGAAGGGAAACCGAGUCUUAACUGGGCGUUAAGUUGCAGGGUAUAGACCCGAAACCCGGUGAUCUAGCCAUGGGCAGGUUGAAGGUUGGGUAACACUAACUGGAGGACCGAACCGACUAAUGUUGAAAAAUUAGCGGAUGACUUGUGGCUGGGGGUGAAAGGCCAAUCAAACCGGGAGAUAGCUGGUUCUCCCCGAAAGCUAUUUAGGUAGCGCCUCGUGAAUUCAUCUCCGGGGGUAGAGCACUGUUUCGGCAAGGGGGUCAUCCCGACUUACCAACCCGAUGCAAACUGCGAAUACCGGAGAAUGUUAUCACGGGAGACACACGGCGGGUGCUAACGUCCGUCGUGAAGAGGGAAACAACCCAGACCGCCAGCUAAGGUCCCAAAGUCAUGGUUAAGUGGGAAACGAUGUGGGAAGGCCCAGACAGCCAGGAUGUUGGCUUAGAAGCAGCCAUCAUUUAAAGAAAGCGUAAUAGCUCACUGGUCGAGUCGGCCUGCGCGGAAGAUGUAACGGGGCUAAACCAUGCACCGAAGCUGCGGCAGCGACACUAUGUGUUGUUGGGUAGGGGAGCGUUCUGUAAGCCUGUGAAGGUGGCCUGUGAGGGUUGCUGGAGGUAUCAGAAGUGCGAAUGCUGACAUAAGUAACGAUAAAGCGGGUGAAAAGCCCGCUCGCCGGAAGACCAAGGGUUCCUGUCCAACGUUAAUCGGGGCAGGGUGAGUCGACCCCUAAGGCGAGGCCGAAAGGCGUAGUCGAUGGGAAACAGGUUAAUAUUCCUGUACUUGGUGUUACUGCGAAGGGGGGACGAGAAGGCUAUGUUGGCCGGGCGACGGUUGUCCCGGUUUAAGCGUGUAGGCUGGUUUUCCAGGCAAAUCCGGAAAAUCAAGGCUGAGGCGUGAUGACGAGGCACUACGGUGCUGAAGCGACAAAUGCCCUGCUUCCAGGAAAAGCCUCUAAGCAUCAGGUAACAUCAAAUCGUACCCCAAACCGACACAGGUGGUCAGGUAGAGAAUACCAAGGCGCUUGAGAGAACUCGGGUGAAGGAACUAGGCAAAAUGGUGCCGUAACUUCGGGAGAAGGCACGCUGAUAUGUAGGUGAAGCGACUUGCUCGUGGAGCUGAAAUCAGUCGAAGAUACCAGCUGGCUGCAACUGUUUAUUAAAAACACAGCACUGUGCAAACACGAAAGUGGACGUAUACGGUGUGACGCCUGCCCGGUGCCGGAAGGUUAAUUGAUGGGGUUAGCGGUAACGCGAAGCUCUUGAUCGAAGCCCCGGUAAACGGCGGCCGUAACUAUAACGGUCCUAAGGUAGCGAAAUUCCUUGUCGGGUAAGUUCCGACCUGCACGAAUGGCGUAAUGAUGGCCAGGCUGUCUCCACCCGAGACUCAGUGAAAUUGAACUCGCUGUGAAGAUGCAGUGUACCCGCGGCAAGACGGAAAGACCCCGUGAACCUUUACUAUAGCUUGACACUGAACAUUGAGCCUUGAUGUGUAGGAUAGGUGGGAGGCUUUGAAGUGUGGACGCCAGUCUGCAUGGAGCCGGCCUUGAAAUACCACCCUUUAAUGUUUGAUGUUCUAACGUGGGCCCCUUACCGGGGUUGCGGACAGUGUCUGGUGGGUAGUUUGACUGGGGCGGUCUCCUCCUAAAGAGUAACGGAGGAGCACGAAGGUUGGCUAAUCCUGGUCGGACAUCAGGAGGUUAGUGCAAUGGCAUAAGCCAGCUUGACUGCGAGCGUGACGGCGCGAGCAGGUGCGAAAGCAGGUCAUAGUGAUCCGGUGGUUCUGAAUGGAAGGGCCAUCGCUCAACGGAUAAAAGGUACUCCGGGGAUAACAGGCUGAUACCGCCCAAGAGUUCAUAUCGACGGCGGUGUUUGGCACCUCGAUGUCGGCUCAUCACAUCCUGGGGCUGAAGUAGGUCCCAAGGGUAUGGCUGUUCGCCAUUUAAAGUGGUACGCGAGCUGGGUUUAGAACGUCGUGAGACAGUUCGGUCCCUAUCUGCCGUGGGCGCUGGAGAACUGAGGGGGGCUGCUCCUAGUACGAGAGGACCGGAGUGGACGCAUCACUGGUGUUCGGGUUGUCAUGCCAAUGGCACUGCCCGGUAGCUAAAUGCGGAAGAGAUAAGUGCUGAAAGCAUCUAAGCACGAAACUUGCCCCGAGAUGAGUUCUCCCUGACCCUUUAAGGGUCCUGAAGGAACGUUGAAGACGACGACGUUGAUAGGCCGGGUGUGUAAGCGCAGCGAUGCGUUGAGCUAACCGGUACUAAUGAACCGUGAGGCUUAACCUU